rnacentral:rRNA from 1 species
CAGUAGCCACGGUAAUACAGAGGGUGCGAGCGUUAAUCGGAUUUACUGGGCGUAAAGCGUGCGUAGGCGGUUUGUUAAGUCUGCUGUGAAAUCCCCGGGCUCAACCUGGGAAUGGCAGUGGAUACUGGCAAGCUAGAGUGUGUCAGAGGAUGGUGGAAUUCCCGGUGUAGCGGUGAAAUGCGUAGAGAUCGGGAGGAACAUCAGUGGCGAAGGCGGCCAUCUGGGACAACACUGACGCUGAGGCACGAAAGCGUGGGGAGCAAACAGGAUUAGAUACCCCCGUAGUCCCUGUCUCUUAUAC